UGGUGGUGGUGGACAGCGUGAAGCCAAGUUCACACGGAGUUAAUCCGUCACUCGCUGCUUAAAGGAGAGAAGGAGAGAGAGAGAGAAAAUGAGAGAGAGAGAGAGAAGAAAGAAGCGAGCAAAAAACAAGGAGGCGCCCAAGUUUGACAAGAGGCGAGUUGAGAACGCGACCCCAAUGGAAGCCGUGGCGACAUUCACUUCAAAUCUCAUCUCUCGGCCUCUCUCGGAGCCGCGCCGUCGAGUGAGUGUGCUCACGCCGACCGCGCGAGGAGUCCGCGUGUCCAGGCGAGGCGAGGUGGGGGACCCUGGGACCCACCCACGGGGGGAACAGCAGCGACGCGAGACGUCGCGGUGCCGGCUACGAACCGCCUUCAUCGCCGUGACUCGCAAUGAACCCUAAAGCACGGCGCCUCAGACAAUGCUGCAGCUGGGAUCUUCCCCCCCAUUUGCGAGAGGCGGCCACGUGACGGAACAGGCGGCGUCUUAUAAAAGGAUCGAGUCAUGGGACCCGACUUUGCAGACUUUUGAGGGCAAGUACCGUUCGCGAUUCACCUAUGAAGUCCGGCACGGCACACCAGGCGAUGGGUGACCAGCACCACGCCCGGCCGCCUUUGUCUCCCUUGUGGCGAUGUUUUCACAUCGCACCAGCCUCGUGGUUGAAUCCGGUGCACGGCAAUGCGAAUGGCGACAUUAAGUAUCGAGCUCACGUGGUGUUCCGCGCUGUCACUCUGUCGGGCAAGGCUCUCCGCGAAGGCAAAGCCUCUGCUGUCUCAGACCGAGUGCGCAGGAGUUUCACAGAUGGAGUGGCAACACGCGCCGUGUGUGUGCGCGCGUGUAAUCCCAAUGGAAUCAUAUUGCUGGGUAGUUUUUUUUAGAAUGUGGCAAAACUAAACAAUGUUGGAUCAUGACGCCGGACACACAACGGCCUCCUCACGUCCAACGACGCGUGGCGAUCUUAAACGUUCGCGGUAAUGCGGGUGAACACAACAUGCAAACAUAAAUUUCGAUUUAAAGCUUUCGUGACUGCAGGGAUUCAUCUUCUUGGUUCUUUCGGUAAAGUCACGUA